rnacentral:rRNA from 1 species
UACGAAGGGAGCUAGCGUUGUUCGGAAUCACUGGGCGUAAAGCGCGCGUAGGCGGAUUUGUCAGUCAGGGGUGAAAUCCCGGGGCUCAACCUCGGAACUGCCUUUGAUACAGCAAGUCUUGAGUUCGAGAGAGGUGGGUGGAAUUCCUAGUGUAGAGGUGAAAUUCGUAGAUAUUAGGAAGAACACCGGUGGCGAAGGCGGCCCACUGGCUCGAUACUGACGCUGAGGUGCGAAAGCGUGGGGAGCAAACAGG